CCUGACUGCUAUCGGAUUGAUACUAAGCCAUGCGAGUCAUUGUAGCAAUACAAGGCAGACGGCUCAGUAACGCGUAGUCAACCUACCCUAUGGACGGGGAUAACCUCGGGAAACUGAGAAUAAUACCCGAUAGAACAUUAUGCCUGGAAUGGUUUAUGUUUAAAAUAAUUUAUUGCCGUAGGAUGGGACUGCGGCCUAUCAGUUUGUUGGUGAGGUAAUGGCCCACCAAGACUAUUACAGGUACGGGCUCUGAGAGGAGUAGCCCGGAGAUGGUUACUGAGACACGGACCCAGGCCCUAUGGGGCGCAGCAGGCGAGAAAACUUUGCAAUGUGCGCAAGCACGACAAGGUUAAUCCGAGUGAUUUCUGCUAAAGGAAUCUUUUGUCAGUCCUAGAAACACUGUUGAAUAAGGGGUGGGCAAGUUCUGGUGUCAGCCGCCGCGGUAAAACCAGCACCUCAAGUGGUCAGGAUGAUUAUUGGGCCUAAAGCAUCCGUAGCCUGUUUUGUAAGUUUUCGGUUAAAUCCAUACGCUCAACGUAUGGGCUGCCGGAAAUACUGCAAAACUAGGGAGUGGGAGAGGUAGACGGUACUCGGGAGGAAGGGGUAAAAUCCUUUUGAUCUCUCGAUGACCACCUGUGGCGAAGGCGGUCUACCAGAACACGUCCGACGGUGAGGCGAUGAAAGCUGGGGGAGCCAAACCGGAUUARAUACCCGGGUAGUCCCAGCYGUAAACUAUGCAAMCUCAGUGAUGCAUUGGCUUGAUGCCAAUGCAGUGUUGCAGGGAAGCCGUUAAGUUUGCCGCCUGGGAAGUACGUACGCAAGUAUGAAACUUAAAGGAAUUGGCGGGGGAGCACCACAAGGGGUGAAGCCUGCGGUUC
rnacentral:rRNA from 1 species